rnacentral:tRNA from 1 species
GGUGGGGUAGCUAUAACUGGUAAGAGCGCUGCUUUUCAAGCAGAAUUCCUGGGUUCGAUCCCCAGCUCCACUG